rnacentral:rRNA from 1 species
AGUGGCGAACGGGUGAGGAACACGUAAGAAUCUGCCCCUCGGUCGGGGACAACUCUUGGGAACGAGAGCUAAUACCCGAUACGCUGAGGAGUGAAAGAAUUUCGCCGAGGGAUGAUCUUGCGUCUGAUUAGCUAGUUGGUAUGGUAAUGGCAUACCAAGGCGACGAUCAGUAGCUGGUCUGAGAGGAUGAACAGCCACAUUGGAACUGAGACACGGUCCAAACUCCUACGGGAGGCAGCAGUGGGGAAUUUUCCGCAAUGGACGAAAGUCUGACGGAGCGACGCUGCGUGAAGGAUGACGGCCUGCGGGUUGUAAACUUCUUUUCUCGAAGAAGAAGCUCUGACGGUAUUCGAGGAAUAAGCAUCGGCUAACUCCGUGCCAGCAGCCGCGGUAAUACGGAGGAUGCAAGUGUUAUUCGGAAUGAUUGGGCGUAAAGCGUCUGUAGGCUGUAUAGAAAGUCUUUUGUUAAAUGCCUCGGCUCAACCGAGAUCCAGCAAAGGAAACUUCUAUACUUGAGGGAAGUAGAGGUACAGGGAAUUCCCGGUGGAGCGGUGAAAUGCGUAGAUAUCGGGAGGAACACCAAUAUGGCGAAGGCACUGUACUGGGCUUUACCUGACGCUCAGAGACGAAAGCUAAAGGAGUGAUUAGGAUUAGAUACCCUAGUAAUUUUAGCCGUAAACGAUGGAAACUCACUGCCGAGCGAAAUACAACGAGCGGUGGUCAAGCUAACGCGUGAAGUUUCCCGCCUGGGGAUUAC